rnacentral:rRNA from 1 species
GACGAACGCUGGCGGCGUGCCUAAUACAUGCAAGUAGAACGCUGAAGAGAGGAGCUUGCUCUUCUUGGAUGAGUUGCGAACGGGUGAGUAACGCGUAGGUAACCUGCCUUGUAGCGGGGGAUAACUAUUGGAAACGAUAGCUAAUACCGCAUAACAAUGGAUGACACAUGUCAUUUAUUUGAAAGGGGCAAUUGCUCCACUACAAGAUGGACCUGCGUUGUAUUAGCUAGUAGGUGAGGUAACGGCUCACCUAGGCGACGAUACAUAGCCGACCUGAGAGGGUGAUCGGCCACACUGGGACUGAGACACGGCCCAGACUCCUACGGGAGGCAGCAGUAGGGAAUCUUCGGCAAUGGGGGCAACCCUGACCGAGCAACGCCGCGUGAGUGAAGAAGGUUUUCGGAUCGUAAAGCUCUGUUGUAAGUCAAGAACGAGUGUGAGAGUGGAAAGUUCACACUGUGACGGUAGCUUACCAGAAAGGGACGGCUAACUACGUGCCAGCAGCCGCGGUAAUACGUAGGUCCCGAGCGUUGUCCGGAUUUAUUGGGCGUAAAGCGAGCGCAGGCGGUUUGAUAAGUCUGAAGUUAAAGGCUGUGGCUCAACCAUAGUUCGCUUUGGAAACUGUCAAGCUUGAGUGCAGAAGGGGAGAGUGGAAUUCCAUGUGUAGCGGUGAAAUGCGUAGAUAUAUGGAGGAACACCGGUGGCGAAAGCGGCUCUCUGGUCCGUAACUGACGCUGAGGCUCGAAAGCGUGGGGAGCGAACAGG